CUGACCUGAGCAAGGGGGAGCUCAUGGACCUUAAACUGACAGAAAAAGAACCAUCAAAUUAAAAAUGUUGGAAAAGUCAAGGAGGAGCGAUGUAGAGAUCAUGGUGAGUGAGCAUUGGCUUUCAUGAGUGAAGAGGAACUUCCUGCUCCAGUAAGAGGAACAGAUGAAGAUAGAGCCCAUCAUCGAUGACAUUUGAAUCUCAAGCUGAGAGUGCCAGAAGGAGAGUGAGUCAUCCUGAGGAUGGAAGGAUUGGAAGCGAGUCUCGCACGCUGGUCCUUGGAGUUCUUUCAGUCUUCUCUUCUACAGAUGAGCUCUGAAACCCGGCCUAGAUUGCACCUGUCUCCUUUUACCUUCACCACCAGGAAAGGUUCUCUGCCACAUUCUGAAGGAAGCAAUACCCAGAAAACUGCAUUUCAUUUUGCAGGUUGCUGAUCGUUUUCCCAGCUGAUUAUUUUGGAGAUGCCUCAGAAAAUAGAAAUGAGUAUGGUCAGCAUGAGAAACAAGGAAAACCGAAGGAGCUCAACCUGAAGGAGUGGCUAUGUCCAACUCACCUCCCCUCUCGGGUAGCUAAGACAUGCCAAAGAGUGGAUCAGUGGAGACAUGCUUUCUUCUUCAGUUUCUGCCAGUCAACCCAUCUUUACUGUGGCUGGAGAGAGAAGAGAAGACGGGGUGGGGGUGAGAAAGUAAAGAGGAGCUUUCAGUAGUAGCCUGCCUUGUGCUGGCCAUGCAGUUCCCCAGCAUGCACACCGCUGUACAUAUUUGCAUUUUCAAUCCAACCUCACCUUUGCACCACUCCAUCCUGCUAGUAGCUCAAAACUCUUCUAAGCUUUAGAAUUGAGAGAUGAAUUUGAGCCCAGUUAUUAUGUUCAGCUGCUUGACUUGAAAGAAUGAAGCACCACAAAAACAAAACCAAACCCUCAAGUCCUUAUAGACCUGCAAUAUUCUAAGUCUAUUGACACACUCGCAUGAACCCUACAUGCUGCCAUACUGAACCAAUGGCUCUUUCCCACACAGUAAAUAGAGAGGCACAUGGAAGACAUGCAGUGCCAUCUAUCAUGCUGUCCUACCCUCCUGGAUCACUUUUAUGGGUUGUUUUAGACAUGGUCUAUGUCUCAGAAUCUUCUAGAGACCUCCCCCCUGUAACUGCCUACCCAUUCUAAGAUGGUUUGUUUCCUGGCAUGUUUAGGGGGUAAGGAUCAUGGUCAGAGCAUAGCUGGGUAUUAUAGUAUAAAGACACACCCAAGAGAUCAAAAAGAGUCUCCGUGAGAGGAGGAUGGUGGGAAUGCUUACCCCCCGGGUUGGCAUUUUCCUUUCCUUUGUCAUUCUUGCCUUUGUGGCAGUGUUUGUUAAAGUUCAUGUCACAUGCCCCUACUUGAGAAUCCCUUCUUUUAGUUUUUGUGAUGUCAUUAUCUCUUGUAAACAUUUUAUCAACACUCUUGUAAAUCGGUUUUAUUUCAAAAUAAAGCCAUCUAAAUUGUAAACUUAUCUAACGCCAAUAAGGUGAUUGCCCACUUCCACAUCCUUGUGCUCUAUGGCCAGCCAGCCGCUGGAGGCAGAGAUUUGGAACUCAGCCAGGAUCCUCUGUUUAUAGUCCCUCAUCCUUGUCAUCCAUUAAACCAACAUACCUCCCAUUAGUGAUGGUUAUUUAUUUUCAAGUGAAAAUUCAAUG